rnacentral:rRNA from 1 species
GAUGAACGCUGGCGGCGUGCCUAACACAUGCAAGUCGAGCGGACAGACGAGGAGCUUGCUCGGCUCACGUUAGCGGCACACGGGAGAGUAACACGUGGAUAACCGACCUGUAAAAGUGGUAUAACCUCGGGACUGAGGAUCUAAUACCGUAGAAUCUAUUGAACCGCAUGGUUGAUUAGUGAAAGACGGCUUUGCUGGCACUCAUAGAUGGAUCCGCGCCGCCUGAGCUAGUGGGUACGGUAACGGCUUACCAAGGCGACGAUGCGUAGCCGACCUGAGAGGCUGAUCGCCCACACUGGAUCUGAGACACGGUCCCGACUCCUACGGGAGGCCCCAGUCGGGCACCUUCCGCAAUGGGCGCCAGCCUGACGCAGCGCCCCCGCGUCAGUGAUGAAGGCCUUCGGUUCGUAAAGCUCUUUUAUGAGGGACAAACAACUGUGUCAGUCACCAUGCACGUCUUGACGGUACCUAGUAAAGAAGCAACGGCUAACUACGUG